GAUUAUUUAUGGUGUGCUUACUUACUCUCUAUCUAAAUUUCUUAAUUUUUUUGCAUUCUUGCAUCUCAUUUCUAUACUUUGCUUAAAUCACUUACUACAUAUAACUUGCUUAUUAUUACUUAAUCCUUAUGGUUCUAAAUUAACAUUAAAAUUUUAAAAACUCAAUUCACCCCCCUCUUGGGUUGCAUAGCUGGGCAAC
rnacentral:lncRNA from 1 species